rnacentral:misc_RNA from 1 species
UUUCUUCGUAUAUCCUUCUUUUCCUUGUUGGUGGUACCGUUUGGUAAACGAGGCUGAAGUGACAGACAGACCGUCCGCGUGUACGAUAUGUCGGAACACCACCGCGUAGCCGGUGGCUGGGGCACAGCGAGCCCAGGAAGCCGUGAGGAUGCCUCCGGUGGUACCGCCUGGUGGCCUUCGGGUUUAAACACCGUAUCGCCUGAACAACAACAGCAGCAACAGCAACAACAACAGAAUCUACAUCAACACCUGAUGAAUCAACAACAGCAACUAACACAACAGCAGCAGCUAACACAACAGCAGCAAGCACAGCAACAGCAGCAUCAUCAGGAUAUCGUUAGGAGUACCGCUGCUGCAACCCAGCAGCUUUUCUCCUACAAGAUGGCCUCCAGCUUUCAGAAUCCAGCCACCACAGGCACGCAGUCGAAUCCCGUUUCGACGUCUACGCCGGUUGGCUCCUGCAUGAGGGGAGGCUAUGAUUAUAGAUUAGGAACGGGGCCCGGAACAGGCGGAGGUGUACCUGGUACACCUUCCGCACCACCGCCUGGCGUACAGUGGUGGUACCCAGGUGGAGUUAUGGACGCCGGACAGAACAACCUGCAUCAGCAAUUGCAGGGCCAACAACAGCAGCAGCACCUCUCGCCCAUUACCACACAAACGUCCACGCCCCCCGUUAUGUCCCCGCACCAGAUACAGCAGUUACCGCAGCAACAAAAUAAUCUUCAGCAAAAUAACGCUCAGAGCUUACAACAGCGAGACAAUAUGCCGAGAGGAAAGGAUUCGAAGCCAAGAGGACGGAUGACCGCAUACGCGUUCUUCGUGCAAACAUGUCGUCAGGAACACAAAAAGAAACAUCCCGAGGAGAAGAUCGUUUUUCGGGAAUUUUCUAAAAAAUGUGCAAUGAGGUGGAAGACUAUGUCAGAUAAAGAAAAAAAACGAUUCCAUGAAAUGGCAGAGAAAGAUAAAAAGAGAUAUGAUGCGGAGAUGCAAAAUUAUACGCCACCGAAAGGCGAAAGUAAAGGCAGGGGCAAAAAACGCAAACACAUUAAAGAUCAUAAUGCUCCCAAAAGAUCAUUAUCUGCCUUCUUCUGGUUCUGCAAUGAUGAGCGCGGAAAAGUGAAAAUGCUGAAUCCUGAGUUCGGUGUUGGUGAUAUAGCUAAGGAGCUUGGUAAAAAAUGGUCAGAUGCAGAUUCUGAAACCAAAUCGAAAUAUGAGGCUAUGGCAGAAAAGGACAAGGCUCGAUAUGAAAGAGAAAUGACUGCGUACAAAAAGAAAAUGAAAGAUGGCGCACCAGUAGUAGGAGUUCCAGCGAAUACUGUAAAAAGUGACAGUGAAGAAGAGUAUAAAGAAGAUGAUGAAUAGCGGAUGCACGACAAAAUUUCAUCUAUCACCCCGUGUCCUUGAUCCUGAAAGCAUACCUCACCUACUGAUAGCAGAAUGGAAAGAUAUGGUGCCCACUUUCUAUCAGGUGGAAGGCGCAGGGGCUCAAUCAUUGUUGACAUUGUCUCCAGACUAUGUUAAAAACUAUCGUAGUUACAAAUAAACCAGGAUACGGCGGCUCCAUAGUUGGAUGGUAUCAUUCGAAUAGUUUGAUAUUUAUCAGUUCAGUUCAUUCGCUGCCAGUGUAAGAAGACUUAUUGUAUAUCCUUGUACAGAAUAUUUCUUUAAAUCAAAUCUGUCGCAGGUGGGGCAUGGGGCUGCUUUGUAUGAAUGUAAUUCAUUUAAGUAUAUGUCGUAUAGUUGUAAGUAUUAGGAUAAGUAUAUAUUUUAAUGCAACUUCGAUUCUACAUCUGCGUCAACAUGUGAUAGUUUCCACUAACGAUGUAUUCUAAACCACGAGAUUGAGCCUUAUAGCUUAUAAGUAAUUGGAAUCGAGACAAAAUAUCUAAUUCACAACUUUACUAAAUCAAAAUUGGGGCGAUAACCCAGCCAUGGAGCAGUGGUAUUGUCAAGUACUACAUAACAUAUAGACAGCGAAUAAUUUCUGUUCGUAAGAAAG